rnacentral:tRNA from 1 species
GGGGGCGUCGUCCAGUGACAGGACUCCGGCUUCCAAAACCGGCUACGUAGGUUUGAUUCCUGCCGCCCCUGCCA